rnacentral:rRNA from 1 species
CCCACUAUGCUUAGACGUCAACCCAGGUAGCACAUUUAACCCGCUGCCCGCCAGAGAACUACAAGUGAAAAACUUAAAACUCAAAGAACUUGACGGUGUUCCACAUCACCCUAGAGGAGCCUGUCCUAUAAUCGAUAACCCACGUUACACCUCACCUGCUCUUGCAAAUUCCAGCCUAUAUACCGCCGCCCAAGCCCACCUUACAAAAGCACUAACAAUGGGCCAAACAGCCACCACUAAAACGCCAGGUCAAGGUGUAGCUAACGCGCAGGAUGAGAUGGGCUACAUUUUCUACCAUCAGAAAAUCCACCACCAGCACAAUGAAAUAAAUGCCAAAAGGCGGAUUUAGCAGUAAGUAGCGCAAACCUGCCCCACUGAACACU